AUGUGUCUGUUGUCUCAUAGAGUGCCCAAUUCCUGCCACCAUUUGUCAUUUCCAUUCGCAACAUUUCUUUCAUUGUUUGUUUUUCAGAGUCAGGGUCUCACUCUGUUGCCCAGGCUGGAGUGCAGUGGUGCAAUCAUAGCUCGUUGCCAUCUCGACCUCCUGGGCUUAAGCGAUCCUCCCCUCUCAGCCUCCCAAAUAGCUGGGACCACAGACGUGCGCUGCCUUGCCAGGCUAAAUUUUAAUAUUUUUUUUCCCCACGAGUCAGAGUCUUGCUCUGUCUCCCAGGCUGGAGAGCAGUGUUGCGAUCUUGGCUCACUGCAUCCUCUACCUCCUGGGUACAAACAGUUCUCCUGCCUCACCCUCCCGAGUAG
rnacentral:lncRNA from 10 species